rnacentral:rRNA from 1 species
GACGAACGCUAGCUACAGGCUUAACACAUGCAAGUCGAGGGGCAGCAUGAAGUUUGCUUGCAAACUUUGAUGGCGACCGGCGGAUGGGUGAGUAACGCGUAUCCAACCUGCCCCCUUCCCGGGCACAGCCCUUGGAAACGAGGAUUAACUCCCGAUGGCGUCGCCUUAACGCAUGUUUCGGCGACCAAAUGUUUAAGGAAGGGGAUGGGGAUGCGUCCCAUUAGCUUGUUGGCGGGGUAACGGCCCACCAAGGCCCCGAUGGGUAGGGGUUCUGGGAGGAACGUCCCCCACAAUGGAACAGAGACACGGUCCAGACUCCUACGGGAGGCAGCAGUGAGGAAUAUUGGUCAAUGGAGGCAACUCUGAACCAGCCAAGUAUCGUGAGGGACGACUGCCCUACGGGUUGUAAACCUCUUUUGUCGGGGAAUAAACCGCGCCACGUGUGGCGCUCUGCAUGUACCCGCAGAAUAAGGACCGGCUAAUUCCGUGCCAGCCGCCGCAGUAAGAC